rnacentral:rRNA from 4 species
ACAUACGACCAUAGGGUGUGGAAAACAGGGCUUCCCGUCCGCUCAGCCGUACUUAAGCCACACGCCGGUGAGUUAGUAGUUGGGUGGGUGACCACCAGCGAAUCCUCACUGUUGUAUGUUU